rnacentral:misc_RNA from 1 species
CAUAAAACAACGAUGAAAGUGCGCUUUGUCACAAAAAAUGUAACUAAAUAACGUAUUUUACUUUCUGUUGAAAUGGGUUUGUCGUAUAUUAGCGGGGUAGGGUAUGGAGGUUCGAAAUUAUAUUUCAAACCUUUUGUUUCAAAUUGAAUUUAUUAUUCAUCGCCACGUCAGUUAUUGACGAGGCGUUUUUUUUGUCUAA